ACUACGGGUGGCUGCAGUGGGGAAUAUUGCACAAUGGGGGAAACCCUGAUGCAGCGACGCCGCGUGAGUGAAGAAGUAAUUAGUUAUUUAAAGCUCUAUCAGCAGGGAAGUAAAUGCCGGUACCUGUGUAAGAAGCUCCGUCUAACUACGUGCCAGCAGCCGCGGCAAUACGUCGGGGGCAAGCGUUAUACGGAUUUACUGGGGGGAAAGGGAGCGUAGACGGCAGUGCAAGUCUGUGGUGAAAGGCGGGGGCGCAACCCCCGGACUGCUGUGGAAACUGUAAGGCGGGGGUUCAGGAGAGGUAAGUGGAAGUCCUAGUGUAGCGGUGAAAUGCGUAGAUAUUAGGCGGAACACCAGUGGCGAGGGCGGCUUACUGGACUGUAACUGACGUUGAGGCUCGAAAGCGUGGGGAGCAAACAGGAUUAGAUACCCCAGUAGUC
rnacentral:rRNA from 1 species